UGGGGAAUUUUGGACAAUGGGCGAAAGCCUGAUCCAGCAAUGCCGUGUGUGUGAAGAAGGCCUUCGGGUUGUAAAGCACUUUUGUCCGGAAAGAAAUCCUUGGCUCUAAUACAGUCGGGGGAUGACGGUACCGGAAGAAUAAGCACCGGCUAACUACGUGCCAGCAGCCGCGGUAAUACGUAGGGUGCAAGCGUUAAUCGGAAUUACUGGGCGUAAAGCGUGCGCAGGCGGUUUGCUAAGACCGAUGUGAAAUCCCCGGGCUCAACCUGGGAACUGCAUUGGUGACUGGCAGGCUAGAGUAUGGCAGAGGGGGGUAGAAUUCCACGUGUAGCAGUGAAAUGCGUAGAGAUGUGGAGGAAUACCGAUGGCGAAGGCAGCCCCCUGGGCCAAUACUGACGCUCAUGCACGAAAGCGUGGGGAGCAAACAGGAUUAGAUACCCUGGUAGUCCACGCCCUAAACGAUGUCAACUAGUUGUUGGGGAUUCAUUUCCUUAGUAACGUAGCUAACGCGUGAAGUUGACCGCCUGGGAGUACGGUCGCAAGAUUAAAACUCAAAUGAAUUGAC
rnacentral:rRNA from 1 species